rnacentral:rRNA from 1 species
GAUGAACGCUGGCGGCAUGCCUUACACAUGCAAGUCGAACGGCAGCGGGGGAGAAGCUUGCUUUUCCUGCCGGCGAGUGGCGAACGGGUGAGUAAUACAUCGGAACGUGCCCUGUAGUGGGGGACAACUAGUCGAAAGAUUAGCUAAUACCGCAUACGACCUGAGGGUGAAAGUGGGGGACCGCAAGGCCUCAUGCUAUAGGAGCGGCCGAUGUCUGAUUAGCUAGUUGGUGGGGUAAAGGCCUACCAAGGCGACGAUCAGUAGCUGGUCUGAGAGGACGAUCAGCCACACUGGGACUGAGACACGGCCCAGACUCCUACGGGAGGCAGCAGUGGGGAAUUUUGGACAAUGGGCGAAAGCCUGAUCCAGCAAUGCCGCGUGUGUAAAGAAGGCCUUCGGGUUGUAAAGCACUUUUGUCCGGAAAGAAAUGGCUCUGGUUAAUACCUGGGGUCGAUGACGGUACCGGAAGAAUAAGGACCGGCUAACUACGUGCCAGCCGCCGCCGUAA